CCCUAAACCAGUGGUGGCGAGAGGAGGAGGUAGAGGCAGGAGGUCUUGGUGCUCCAUUCCAAAACCCCACCAUGCUCAGGUCAUUUGGAAACAGAUUACAAAACCUUUCUAACAAGCUUAUCAUGUGAAUUUCUGGUGCAAUCAUCCCCCCCUCUGUUUUCUGCAGACCUUACAUUUCCUGGGAAGGAGGAACUCUGUGCUGUCCCCAUGGAAUGGGAAGGACUUGGAUGCUUCACUAGGGCUUCUCUCUUCACCCCUCAUGAGCAGAGAUACUGAUCUUCAGUGCUGGUCCCAGAGGAAAAUUCACAAUUGGACAUCAGAGUGACCACAGAUGACAAAUGCAACAGCUUAUGGGAAAUGGAAUGUGAAAUAUCUUCAGAGGGGCAGCUUCUCUGGGUACUCAAACCAGGGCUAAGACACCUCGGAUUUAAGGUAAUAGCUACUAUAACUUUCUGAAAAUGAAGACCCUUUCCCUCUUUUGCCUUUUUUAUUCUUGCAAGUAUUUGCUACCCCAUCAUUAGGAUGCCUUUUUUGUUCUUUUACUCCUGAUCGAUGGCUCAGAGUUAUUUGUUUAGUCAUUAUUUUUAGUUUUGUGCGUGGCUGUUUGUCUGUUUAUUGAAAUGAACUGCCAUCCGGGCACCCUGAUCAAAGCAAAAGGCAUGAAAUCCCACGUGUUGCCCUUUUGAGAGCAACAACAAUGAAGCUAACCUUUCACCCUUGACUUUCUUUUAACCCUAAUUUUGAAAGACAGUAGCAAACAAUUCAGCUAACUUAAGUAAAAGAAUAUUCAAACUAGCUCGAUUGUAAUGCAGUGCUCCUUUCAAGUGAAUGGAAGGUCUGGAGUAAUGCAUGCAAGCACAGAGGCUGGGUAAGUUCAUUACUUUGGAGCUUCUGGUGCAGUAAUAGCAGUGAAAUGGUUAAAAGGCUGACUUUAAAGUGGUCACAAUUAGGCUUCAAAGUUAACACCCCACCCCACUGAGAUGAAUGGGAGCAGUUGACAUUUCUCAGUGCUAUUGUUUCAGUCUGGCUUGCUAUAGCUUCUAAAAUAAGACAACAGUACAUCUGUUUACAUUCUGCUUCCGCGAACCCAGAUGGGCUAGAAACUUCAUUGUUUGUUAAGUGGAAGCUUGGAUUCUGGAGAAUACAGCAAUAUCCACAGGGUAUCUGUAGGAAGAAGAGCCGAAAGCCGC
rnacentral:lncRNA from 1 species